rnacentral:rRNA from 1 species
AUUUUUUUAUAGUAGCCUAGUCUCGUACCAAAAUUUUAUCCUUAUUUGAACUAAAAAAUUGAGAGUUAGCGGCUUUUUCUUCAUGCCAUUAAAUUUGGGCCCCUCCCCCCUUCAUUUUCUUCCAAGAUUUGCCACUGCUAGUUAAUGCGAAGCAUCCCAAGGUCAUCCCCAUGGACCUACCAUCGCCUCACCAAGUGCCUAGCGGACCCAUGACACGAGCAUGUGCAAGAGCUCUCGAAACCGAGGUAACAUCACUCUCAGAUUUCCACUUCGAUGCACAUGAGACAUGGCUACUACCUCAUAUGGACACAUUGUGCAUACUCAGGUAUCAUGGAGAAGCUAAGGAGCGAGGAGAAGAAGAAGAGGAAGAUGGACGUGAAGACGGAGACGAAGUAGAAGAACUGCUCAAAGUCUCCAGGCUCCGGAUGACCGACGAACCCUGGACGUCCGACGACCUCCAGGCUCCGGACGUCCGGCCCUCUCCGGACGACCGACACUUCCACACCCGAGCCAAAACAGACGGACAUCCGACGCCCCACGGACGACUGACGCCUGGACGUCCGACCCCGACCGGACGUCCGACAGAAGACCACCUGAGCCGAAUCUAUGGACGUCCGACAGGCACCGGACAUCCGGACCCUCGCGAGCCUCCGGACGACCGGUGACCCCCGGACGUCCGACGCCUGUGCGCUGUUUCAUGUUGGGCCGCAGCCCAUGUACCCCUUCGCCCCCUCUUUUGCACUAAGACUAUAUAUAGACCUCUUAUUCCUUCUAGCUAGGGUUAGCAUUGGUUUAGCUCAUUUGAGAGAUAGAGCAUUGCUCAUCCACAUCGGAUCUACUCCUCGAGAGAGACCACGGCCUCUUCGGAGAAGAUCCCUUUGGAUUCAAG